GGAGGUGGAGGUGCUGCUCCUCGACUGCCCCAAUCAACUAAAUCCCUUUUCUCCUUCCUAUUUCUGAGAGGAAGAAGUGCUUGUUCUUGCUCUUGUUCUUUCCGAACUGAUCUUCGCACUGAGCAGCCCCUAUUACUAGGGUCAUGCCCUAUUCGGUCAAAGACGCUGACUGACCUUUGUGCUUUAUUUUCUUGAUGAAAA
rnacentral:lncRNA from 1 species